ensembl:lncRNA
CUUCCACAACAGUGGUUGCUAGUCUUCCUGGGGCCCAAACCAUCAAAUGUCACCGAAUAAAAUGUUACACAAUGAGUUGGAUGCAAAAUAUCCACAUAAUUUGGCUCUUACUUCCACAAUAAGGUUUUACAAUUCUGAAAAUAUAAGCAUGUAAAUAUUAAAAAUUAUAAAAAACACUCAAACAGAAUACACAAUUUCCAUUACAAAUGACAUUACCCUCUUACACAGUAUUUAUCAAAACUCAGAAGGAGGCAUUAUUUCCUCCUAUUAUAAAAACCAUUAAUUGUCCCAUUAAUAAUAGUGUUUCCACGUGCUUGGAAAGAAAACUCUCGCCCAGAAUUUGCUGCUUACCGGGGCUGCGGACUUGCUACGCCCUCUCUCCUUCACCUGGAUGCAUCCCUCCACAGUUACCAUAUCUCAGUACAAUACACCAUCCUUGGGAUGUUAUUGAAAGGGAAUUUUGGGUGACUAGCUGUGGCACAAAACUGAAAGUAUGCAUUUCUAUUUGCUUUUUCAUACAUAUUUGAAAAAAUUUAAAGUAAUUUGACUGAGAAUAUGAACAGUUAAAUGUGUUUAAAAAUAAUAGCUAUAGUUAACUUGCCAUAUAGUUAACUAAUUCAUUGUUCAUGGGGAUCACAGUUCAGUCCAUGUUUUUAAACAAGUUUAAAAAAUUGACACGUCAGUUAGAUUUUUUUGUGUUUAUUAUGUAUUUAUUUACUGGUUACCUCACUGCACAUUACAAAUGUUCUAUCUAUGGCACUUGGUGGUGCAUAGCCAGGAUUUAGGAUCACACUCCUCCCUGACACUCACCAGGCCAGGGGGCACAAAACAGACCAAUGUAAUGUUGGGCAGUACUCAGUAUUCAAUCAUAUCUAGAGCCAGAACACUCUAACGUUGAGAUUUGAAUUCUCCUUAUACACAGGCCCCCUGCCCACACAUUGUCUUGUGGAGUCAAACUAAAAACUAACUUCUACUAUGUUGUUGGCCCUCUUCAUGUCACUAAACCAGUUUUAGGUCAAAAAGACUUGGUCUCAACAAGCAUUUCAAGGGCUUGUGUGGUAUCUGAAAAAAAGAUGUUUUUCCACUCCAGCCUGGUCCUGCGGCGUCCACCUGUUCAUCAAUGCCAGCAAUCAGUGGGAGCUGUAUUUUAAGCAGCCACACCACGAGUCCAUGCCACGCUGAACUACUCUUCUCUUCCGUUAGCUGCUGAGCUCAGCUUAAGGUUGCUCACGCUUCUCUGGAUUCAUGCCGUCUUUACCUGCCUGUCCUCCUGCCCACCGGCUCUGGUUGCACCUGGAAAACAGUGUCCAUCACCUCAGAGACUUGCUGCCACUCUCAUAGUCGAACCAGGGCUCCUACAGUCACACCAU